GACGGAGGAUGCAAGCGUUAUCCGGAAUGAUUGGGCGUAAAGCGUCCGCAGGUGGCAGUUCAAGUCUGCUGUCAAAGACCGGGGCUUAACUUCGGAAAGGCAGUGGAAACUGAACAGCUAGAGUAUGGUAGGGGCAGAGGGAAUUCCUGGUGUAGCGGUGAAAUGCGUAGAGAUCAGGAAGAACAUCGGUAGCGAAGGCGCUCUGCUGGACCAUAACUGACACUCAGGGACGAAAGCUAGGGGAGCGAAUGGG
rnacentral:rRNA from 1 species